UGGAUGUGCCUGAAAGGGAACCGUAACACAGGUGCUGCAUGGCUGUCGUCAGCUCGUGUCGUGAGAUGUUGGGUUAAGUCCCGCAACGAGCGCAACCCUUGCUAUUAAUUGCCAUCAUUAAGUUGGGCACUUUAAUAGGACUGCUGGUGAUAAACCGGAGGAAGGUGGGGAUGACGUCAAGUCCUCAUGGCCCUUAUGGGUAGGGCUUCACACGUCAUACAAUGGCCGGUACAGAGGGAUGCCAACCCGCGAGGGGGAGCCAAUCUCAGAAAGCCGGUCGUAGUCCGGAUUGUUCUCUGCAACUCGAGAGCAUGAAGUCGGAAUCGCUAGUAAUCGCGGAUCAGCAUGUCGCGGUGAAUACGUUCCCGGGUCUUGUACACACCGCCCGUCACACCA
rnacentral:rRNA from 1 species